AUGCGGUUGCGGGGAUGGGCGGGUCAAAAUUAUAAAAUUCAUAAUUUUGUGCGGUGCGGGUGCGGGUUAGGACUGAAAUAACUUUAGAAAUCAGACGCUACCCCAUGUGAUUACUUUUAGCAAUUUGAAGUUCGCAAUUUUAUUUAGCAAUUUGAAGUUCGCAGUUUUAUUUUACUUUUGUAAGGUGUUGGAAAGGAGGUUAAAGAAAUAGUAAUUGUCUUUUUUUGUUUAGAAUUCUUAUUUUAAUUCAAUAACCUGCUCAACCCUGUGAACUGGUUAGGAACUUGUAAACGGGAUUGCUUUUAACAAUUUGAUGUUAGCGAUUUUAUUUGUAAGCUGUCAGAGUGAUGAUCCUAAUCCUAUGCGAAUAUAUGAAUAGUGUUGGAAUUGAGGUAACAGGUUUAAGUUUUUAGUUUUUAGUUUUGGGGCUUCAUGUCUUAUGCAGGGGCUUUUACCAUACUCGUAGAGAUUACCGAUCAAAGGAAAUUUGCUUCAUGAAUUGCAUACGCUAAUUGGAGUUAUAAGUUACUUAAAAAUAAGCGCGGGGCGGGUAUACAUUGGUAUGGGUGUUGGAAGGGUUUAUACGAGUUAAAAGGUUAUGCAGGGUGGGGUGGGUUUUAAUAUCGGGUUAAGACCGAUAUUAAAAGAAAUGGGGAGGCUUUUCGUGACAAUUUUGAUCGUUUGAUUGCUGUCAAUCCUUGAUAGGAAGUGUGUGGCUGUGUGCUUUCCCAUGGUUCCAUUUGUUGAUGGUUUUGGAUUUUUGAUUACCUUCUAAUAAUAAAGUAUUUCUGGUCGGUGUCCGUUGGGAGGGUGGAGUGGGGUUGGGGGUUGGCGCUGGUGGCAGGGUUUUCUUGGAGUCCAUGAAAGCACGUACUUUUGUAUCAUUUUGUGGUUGGUCUAUGACUGGUGCGAGAAAUUAGUUGGUGCCAGCUCCUUUGGAGCUCCCCUCCCCCAUUCCGGAGUGAGCGUUUUCUGAAUAACCUUCCUCUUAUGGCUAUCUUGAAAAAAUCCAUUUGUUUAUUUUAUUCAUUCAGGGCUUGUUGGUGUUCUUGAAAUUUACAGAGCCAAUUUUAUAUGCUCAUGGUUGAAAGUUUGUGCAACGUGCUCAUUCCAUUACUAGUUCAUAAAGUUUGCGCGACAUGCUCAUUCCAUUACUAGUUCCCAAAAUGACUUAACGAGUGGAUUUGUGGUUGAGCCUGGGGUCCGAAACUUAAGAUGGAUGGAAUACAUAAAACGGGCAGUUCAGUGCACUAAAGCUUCAUUAUGUGCGGUGUCUGGCAAAGGGCCAGACCACAAGGGUCAGCUUUACCCAGUAUUUCUAUAAAAGGUUAUUUUCACGACAUAUAUAUAUAUAUAUUUCUUUUUUUUAUAUUUUUUUUUUAUUUUUUUUAAAUUUUUUUUGUGGUGGUGGUGGGGUGUGCGGGGUGCGGGGUGGGGUCCAAGGAUUAUUGUUGUAACUAAAGCAUCACCCAGCAAUAAUUCCAAGAAAGAACCGUUAAUUAUUUCUUACUGAAAUAGUCGAACAGUUGUCAGAAUACAUAAACCCACUUUGACUAAUGAAAUGAAACAUUUAGUUUGCGUAAUAUAAGAAUGUCCUUCUAAACCACGUCCUUUAGUUCAAUGAAUACAACAACAACAAACCCAGUAUAUUCCCACCUAGUGGGGUCUGGUGGGGUCUGGAGAGGGUAGAGUAUAUGCAGUCUAUACGUAGAGAGGCUGUUUUCGAUAGACCUUCGGCUCAAGACAGUCCAAUGAAUACACACAACUAAUUUCUAUGGGUUAAUGUCUGGACAAAAUAUCCAAAAUAGUGCUCCUAUCCAUUUUUCCCAGCCUAUUUCUGUAAAUCUAAAAUUUAAAGUAACUUAAAUUAGUGAUGAAUUUAGGAUUGGGUACAGUAAUUAGAAAUAGGCGUGAUUUAUUCACACAUAUUCUCGUACACAAGCCGAGCCAAAAGCAAUGAAUUUAGUUGAAUAUGUAGCAACAAGGUAACUGUAGAUCUCAUCUCUAUAUAUUUCCUAUUGAGUACUUCAAAAAAACUAACCAACUUUGUGAAUAAAUACCAAAAUUGAUGCCUGAUUUCUGUUUGAAGGUCUACAGCACGGUUACUGAAUCUUAUUCAUGACGAACUUAAGAGAAGACUUGGCGGCCGUGGAGACAGCAGUGGAAUGCCAAAAAACUGUGAUCCUAUCAGUGCUGUGCUUUCAGAAUGUGGACUACAGGGCUCAUUUUUUUUUUUCCGCUUGCUCUCUUUUCCUACUCGCUGAUUUAAGGGCAACCCACCAAACUUUGCCCUUUGGGUGAGCACUACGUGGUCAGCACUUUGUGGCAACCUUCUCAUUAUGCAAUAGCUUACAAACCACACAGGAAAUAUAAACCGCACUAGGCAAGUCCCAUGCGACGAGCUCAAAGCUGAGCAGAAAAUGGAGGCUGGAUUCGAUCCGUGUGGGCGAUCCACCUUGAUCUCAAUCACUCAACCAUGCCUUGAUUUGAAGAGCAAAAGAUUUCAUCACAAACAUGUUCAGUUACUAGACAGCAGUUGGCAACUGUGAUUGAUUUGAAGAGCAAAAGAUUUCAUCACAAACAUGUUCAGUUACUAGACAGCAGUUGGCAACUGUGAAAAAAGUGCAUCUUCCGUUACCGGGAUUGAUAGCUUUUGGCUGCGACAAUAUAUUCUUAAGGCAUCAACAUGUUGAGUAAGCAGAGAUGACCGUACUAUAGUUCCUUAUUCAGGUAGCAGCAUAUAUAAUGUUAUUUGACUUCUUGGUUUCAAGUGUUAAUGGAGGACCAUAUAUAUUGUGGAUCUACUGUUUUGGUUUAGCUUUUAGAAUAAUUAGUUUUGCAAAUGUUCCCUGGAAAACAUCUUCUAACAUAAUUUUCAAUGUAUGAAUCCUCUCUGGUGGUGUAUGUUGGAUAGUUCUUCCUCA